AAGACAGCCAACUGAUUUGGUUAUCUGAAUGUGUAUUUGCAGAGAUCUAGAAAAAGCUGGCAAUAGUAAGGCCAUGUUGUGCGCCUUAAGGAAAGCUACAUAGUCAUUAAGGUCCCCAAGAAUGGCAAUAAUA
ensembl:snoRNA